CUGAUCUCAAAUCAGGUAGGAAUACCCGCUGAACUUAAGCAUAUCAAUAAGCGGAGGAAAAGAAACUAACAAGGAUUCCCCUAGUAACGGCGAGUGAAGCGGGAAGAGCUCAAAUUUAAAAUCUGGCAGUGUAUUCUGUCCGAG
rnacentral:rRNA from 1 species